AGCCUAUUUGAUGAUGAUUUGAUGUAAAUAAUAAUUGAGCUGCGUUGCAUGUUGAUAUUCUGUGAAACAGAUGGGUGAUGAAUUAUGAUUGUGGUUAUGAUGCUAAGCAGGGUGUAUGAAUGAAUAUUUUGUGAGAAAGCAUUUUGUGUAAGGUAUUGAGCUCCAGAGUUUUCAUUGUUGUAGGGGUUGUUCACAGGAAAGCAUGAAUGAUAUUCCCUAAUCUUGAUGAUUGAUUGAAUUGCAUGUGAUUGUCAUAUGAUCAAGGCUAUUUUUGAAAACCCUUCUCUAGCCAAAUUUUCUCCCAAAGUGCUUGAAAAUAUCAUACCCUUUUUGAACCUUAGCCUUAAACAGGAUGUGAACCCUUGUCUUGAAAUUCUUUAACUUGAGUUGGGAUGAGCUUAAUUGUAUGUGAUGAAAAGGUUCAAGUUUGGGGUUGCAUGGGGGAAAUUGAAAGGCAGUUGAAAAGCAUUGAGCUCAAAUGUUGUGAAAGAAAAAUACAUGAGAGAAAGAAAAGAAAAGAAGAAAAGCAUGAAGAUGGGGCUCAAUGCAAAAGAAAAGGGAAAAAGUUGGGAAUAAGCGAGAUUGGUGAGGAAGAGAGUUGUGCUUAAAUGUUGAAUACUCUGGUAGCUCUCUUAACUCAAGGAUUUUGCAUUCCAGAAAAACCAAUUCUUCUUGUUAGCCCAACCUCAUUACAAGCCUUGAAAAAGUCCUUUUGAUGGCAUUUGCAUGUGAGAUUUUGAUUAUUUAAGAUGAAGGGCAAUUUUGUUUCAUGUGACUUGUGAAUAAUAGAGUGUUGGAGUGUUACCCUAAACACUUGAG
rnacentral:lncRNA from 1 species